CGCGCCAAGUCUGCGGGGCCUCCGGGAUGCCGGCCAGUUCCGGCGGGCCGCGUGGCCUCCCGCGCCAGGACGCCGGGACCGGGCCGCGGGGAGCGCCCCCCUGAGCUUGCCGGAGCGUCCGCGGCGGCGCUCGAGAGUGACCGAGAACGCUGGGAGGGCGGCCACCUGGCCUCGGCCACGUUCUUGGAGGGACCUCGGGAGGGCCGUGCGCGGCCUUAGGCUGGCGUUCCCUUGCCGGGAAGUGGGGAGAUGGUUAAAUGGGUUUAGCGAUCACCAACCCUGUGUAACUGUCUUGAUGCCUCCCCCGCCCUGGGGCAAAGUUAGUGUGGAAGCAAAGCGCCGUUUAAGGCGUAGAUGAUUUCAGCCGCUUCCAGGUUCGGCACUUCGCGGUGCUGAGUAUCGCCAAUUCUGCUGGUGAAAGAUGGAUGCUUGAAGCAUAGACUGCUGCUAGCUGAGUACCACCUGGAAACACAAAAGUGACGGAAGGAUGUCCUUGGUGAGGAUUUUGAAAAUUUGAUCUUCGCAAGAGUUGAUUGGAUCACUUAAAAUUUCCAGGAGCCUGAGGAGUACUGAAAUAAUUGCCUUUGAAUGGCCCAUAAUGAUACAUUUAUGACAAUGGAUAUGAAUAAAUGUUAAUGUGUUUGGAAUUUAAGUCAUUAACUGCCUGAAA